rnacentral:rRNA from 1 species
UACGGAGGGUGCAAGCGUUGUCCGGAUUUAUUGGGUUUAAAGGGUGCGUAGGUGGCUGAUUAAGUCAUGGGUGAAAGCCCGCAGCUCAACUGUGGAAUUGCCUGUGAUACUGAUUAGCUUGAGUGCGGUUGAGGCAGCUGGAAUUGGUGGUGUAGCGGUGAAAUGCAUAGAUACCACCAGGAACACCGAUUGCGAAGGCAGGUUGCUAAGCCGUAACUGACACUGAGGCACGAAAGCGUGGGGAGCAAACAGG